GGACGAGUUACGGGGACCGAGUCACCCAUCCCUGAUCGCCAUCAUCGCAUCCCCAAAACCGGAAUUCUCGAAGCCACACGAUCAGAGCCAGAGAGACGCGUCUAGGGUUUGCCCCUCUUCUCGAUCGCCUCCUUCGCUCCGCCAUGGACGACACCGAGGACGACGCCAGGUACCCUCCCAACCCUCGUCGCUCCUUUCCCCCCUCCUCCCACCGGCCCAAAAUCCCCUUCCGCAAUCCCCCCUCUCCCCCUCCCGCCGCCUACGACGAUGACGAACCCGAUCGAGCCAUCGAAGACUCCGAAUCCGAUUCCGACGGUGAUCGCGGAUACCGUCGGAUGCGCGGCGACGACGAGGAUAGCUCCUCGUCGGAGAGCCGUGGAAAGCGUCGCAGGCUCGAUAAGCUUGCUUUAGGUUUCGAAUUUGCCCCCCGAGCUGCCGCUGCGGCAGCAGCCGCCCGACCACCGCCGCCCCCUCCGGCGAGGAAUUCACCGGCAGAUUGGUCAGAGGAAUCAACGUUUGCCCUGCUUGAUGCAUGGGGAGAGCUUUACGUCCAGAACGGCCGGAAAAGCCUUCGUUCCGAGGAGUGGAGCGAGGUUGCGAAGAAGGUCUCGCAGUCCUCGAGGACCGCCCGAUCCGACACCCAGUGCCGCAAUCGGGUGGAUACCUUGAAGAAGAAGUACAAGAAGGAGAAGGCCAGCAUGGCGGAAUCGAUGAAUCCCAAUAGUAAAUGGGUUUAUUUCAAAAAGAUGGACUUUUUGAUGUCGGCGCCUUCGCCACCUCCCCCUCUUCCGCCCCAGCUGCAGCCGCAGCCUUCCUGGCAGCCACCGGCGCCACCCAGGCCGAGUCCUUAUCUCAACCGAUCUAAUGGGCGGGAUGAAAUGAGGGAUAGCCCUGGUGAGACUGGGACGGACAACGAUGAGGACGAUGAUGACGACUCUGAUGGGCUUCCGCCAAAGAUGACAAAGGGUUUGGGUGUUCCAGGGCCCGCUUCGUUUAGGAUGCUCGCAGACUCCAUUAAGAGGUUUGGAGAGAUUUAUGAGAGGAUGGAGAAUAAUAAGCGGCAGCAGCUGGCAGAAUUGGACCGAAUGAGGAAGGAGUUUCAGAGGGAUUUGGAGAUCCAUAAAAGGCAGAUUUUGGAGAGAGCACAGGUGGAGCUCGCAAAGCUCAGGCAAACUGAGGAGGAAGAAGAAGAUGAGGAGGAUGAAGAGGAUAUCGAUGCUUCUGCUCGAUGAGCCUGUCCCUUGCAUCUUUUAUGUUAAAUCAAUCAGUUCUGUAUUCAUGGAGAUUGCGCACUCAAGGAAUGUAAGAAUCCCGGCGGUGAGUCAAGGACAAUGAGAAGGUUGGCCAUCUGAGUGCUGUGUUUGUCACAUAAAUAGUUCGUGUUAGAAACCUUUGUUCAAAUGUUGUAUAAUCUACCUAGGCAGAGUUGUGAUGCAGGCACAUAAAUACGUCUGCCCUUUAAUAUCUCUAAUGCUAUUGGCUAUUUCGCCCACUGUUAGAGAAAUGUAGUUUUAUUGUAUUUUUCCCUUGAAGACAUGAACAAGAUGCUGGUGUUCGCAAUCCAGACAUUCUAUGUUAAAACAAAUAAUUCUUAUUCUGCCCA